UCGCUCUGUUUUCCACCAGCUGCCUGUCCAGCGGGCCUGCCGCCUCCACCGCCCAGUCCUUGCUCAGGUGUCACUGUUGCUGGCAGGCCAGGAUUAGGAAAGGAGAAUGGGCAGGGGGUGGUGGCUGGGAGGAGAUGGGCUCUACCAUGCCACCCCCACCCUCACUUGGCUUCCUACCCUGGAAUCCGCAUACACCCCCGCGCCUCCUUGGCACCCGCGCCUUGGAGACUGGGUUAAGCUGCAGUGUUAGAAGCCUCUCUCCAUAUUCCAAGAAGAUGAAUGUAACAGAAGCAGAGUGGAAGGGAAGCGAGAUGGAAAGUGACUAAGAGGUCAUGAAAAUGCUAAGCCUCUCUCCAUAUUCUAAGAAGAUGAGUGUAAUGGAAGCAGAGUGGAGGAGAAGCCAAGUGGAAAAUGACUAAGAGGUCAUGAAACUGAGCAAAGCUUUUGGCAGUCUGUGGACCUUGGGAUGAAGAGGAAGAAACAUUAAAGCAAGGCUUGCUCCACGGUGAAGAGACCCUGGUAAAAUCUCUGGCUUUUAUUGAACGAGUACACUGGUAAAGGAGUACACUGGGGGAGUGAUUGCUCACCAGAAAUGGAAUAGAACUUAUAAAACUGGAACCCAGUAUUGUUUAAAUAAAAAUAAAAAUUAUCAUCAAUGGAAAUAUUUAAUGUUGCAAUAAUAUAAAUGCAAUGGGUAAAGAAUGUUUAAUUUGAGGCUGAAGUUGGAGAACUUGCCUAGCACAUAUGAGGCAGGGUUCUAGCCUCAGCACCACAUAAAAAUAAAAAAAUAAAGAAACAAUAAAAAAGUUUAGUUUUUUUUAAAAAGAAUAUUUAAUCUGAAAAUCUUCAAAAGUAUUGCAUUCUUUAAUUAUAGAUAAAUCUAUAGAUUGUUGCCUUGAUUAGGAGAUAUGUAAAUAUCGAUGUCUACAUUUCCUAAAGGAAAAAGGAAAUAUAUAUGUCUGUUUGCCAAAAGUCAUCCCACCAUCCUCUGUUCAUAUCUAGCUGUAAAACUACAUAUCAAAAAAUUCAAACAUACUGCAUAAAGCCAAUUUAUUUAUAACUUUUUUAAAAGGAUAGAUUUCUAGUUCUUAGUUGUGCAUGUAUAAAAAGAUUAAAAGUCUUCACUCUAUCCUAACAAGUAAAAAGCUCAACAAACUGAAAAUUCAACACAUCUUUCUGGAUUCAUAAGAGAAAUGAAAACACAGGACAAACUGGUGCCCCAAAUUUUGAGAGAUAAUCGGGAAUACAGAAAAUUACAAAAUAGUGAAGCUGAAGCCUCCAUGGGAAGCAGCAUCAGAACAGAGAAACCUGAAAUGUAAUCGACAAAUAUCUUGAAUAUGAGAGUUUAAAAUCCCAGACAGACCCCUAGAAGGCUAGGAUGGGUUCACUGGUGAAAUGUUCCAACCAUUUAAGGAAGUAAUUAUAUCAAUUAUCUAAAAUGUCUUUCAGAAGAUACAAGUAGAAGGAAUAUUUCCUAACUUAUCCUGUGAGGACCAUAUGACCCUAAUGCCAAAACCAGAUAAAGACAUUAUAAGAAAACUACAAAACAAUGUCUGUCUUUAAUAUGGAUAUAAAAAUCGAAAUGUAAUUUGCAAGUCAAAUUUGAUAAUGUAUAAAAAGAAUUAUAUACCACAGCCAAGUGGGAUUUAUCUCAUUUAUGCAAAACUAUUUUGACAUCCAAAAAUCAUUUAAUGUAAUCUAUCACACCAAAGGGCUAAAUAGGAACAAUCAUAUGAUCAUGUCAAUAGAUGAAGAAGAAGCAUUUACAUACUCUAAUACCCUUCAUGAUAAAAAGAGAUUAGAAACUCUUAGGGAACUAUGAACAGUAUAAAUCUUCUUCAUCUUAAUCAGGAAUAUCUACAAAAGACCUGCAGCUGACAUCAUUUAGUUGUGAGGAACUCAAGACUUUUUCACCAAUAUCAGGAAUAAAGCAGGACUAUCUCCUCUUGUCACAUCUUUUCAACAUUGUCCUGGGAGUUUUACACAACACACUAAGAUAAGAACAGAAAAUAAAGGUAUACAAACAACAAUGGGAGAAAUACAACAAUCUUUGUUCAUAGGUAACAUUUCUUAUGUAGAAAAUAUAAAAGAAUGAAAAAAAAAAACCCUCAUGGUAUUAAAAUCAAUUAUAGCAAGGCUUCAGGAUAUCAGAUUAGUAUAUAGAAGUCCAUCACUUUCCUACACAUCAGCAAUGAAUAAGUGAAAUUUUAUAUUUAAAAACAUAACACCAGGGGUUAGGAAUUUAGCUCAGGGGAACAGUAUUUGUCUAGCAUAUCAUAAGGCCCUAGAUUUAGUCCAUAUAAUUGCAAAAACAAACACACAACAGCACAAUAUCACAUUUGUUAGCACUCACAAAAAUGAAAUACUUUUGUGUAAAUGGAAGAAAAUUCAUACAACAUUUGAAUGAGAAAACCCACAAAACUGUGAUGAAAGAAUUCAGAGAACUAAAUAAAUUGAGAGCUAUACCUUGUUCAUGGAUAGGAAGAGUCAAUAUGUCAAGAUACUAAUUCUUAAAAAGUUGAUCUUUGAGUCAAUGAAAUCUCAAUGAAAAUACAAGUUGUAUUGUGGAUAUUGACAAACUGAUUCUAUAGAUAUAUGGCAUAGAAAAAGGCCCAGAUUAGUCAACGCACUAUUAAAGAAGAAUAAAGUCAGGUAACUGACACCGCUAAACUAACACCCCUUACAAUAAAGCUAGAAUCACCAAGUCAAUGUGGGGUUAGAGAAAGAGUAAAUAAGAUCAAUGAGUGGAGCAGAGAGAAAAUAGAUUCCCCUUAAAUGUAGUCAGUUGAAUCUUUGACAAAGGAGAAAAGACAAUAACCAAAGAGAAUAUUUUCAACAAAUAAUGCUGCAAGAAUGAAUAUACUAAUUAGAACAAAUUAAAAAUAAAAAAUAAACAAGAAUGAAUACACAUGUUCAAAUGAAACAAAAAAAACAUGGACUUUGCACCCCUUGCAAAAAUGUCUCAUGGCCCUAUAUGUUAAAUGGAAAACUAUAAAACUUCUCAUAGCUAACGUAGAAGAAAAUCUAGAUGGCCUUCACCUUGAAUUUGGUCACGAUCUUUUAGAUGUAAGAACUUAGGUACAAUUCAUCAUGUCCAAGAAUCAAUACGCUGGAUUUCAGUGAAAUUAAACAUUUCUGCUCUGCAAAAAUCACUGUCAAGGCAAUGAAAAAACAAGACACAGACUGGGAGAAAAUAUUUUUAAAACUUAUAAAGAACUGUUUUCCAACAUAUAUGAAUCUCUUAAAUUCAACCAUCAGCAACAACAAAUUCUAUUUUAAAACAGGUCAAAGAUUUUGACAGGUAUUUCACAAAACAAGAUAUACACAUGGCAAGUAAGUAUAUAAAAAAGAUGAUGAUGAUGAUGAUGUCAUUAAAAAUUUAAGUUGAAACAACGAUGUAUACUACUGUGUACUUAUUAGAAUGGCUAAAAUACAGAACAGUGACAAGGUAAGGCUUUGAGCAGCAGGGACUCACAUUCAACUGCUAGUGGGAAUGUAAAAUAGCAUGGCUACUUUAAAAAAUAUUUUAACUGGAUAUGAUGAUUGAUUACCUGAGAAAUAAUUGAUGAAAUAUCAAGAAAAAAAAUAUUCUAACAGUUUCUUUUUUUUUACACUGUUGGGGAUCAAACACCGUGCCUUACACAUGUUAGGCGAGAACUACCACUGAGCCCUUAGUUUAGAAGUUUUUUACAAAGCUGACCGUGUACUUACCAUGCAAUCUUGCAAUCAUGCUUCUGAGUAUUUACCAAAGGAGUUGGAAACUUAUGUCCGCACAACUUAGAAGCAACCAGACAGUUCUUUAGUAAGUGAAUGAAGUAUGUUACCUACACAUAAUUGAAUAUGAUAUGGUACAAAACACAAAUGAACUAUCAAGUCAUAAAAAAAACUUGGAAGAAACUUAAAUGAUAUUAUUAAGUGGAAGAAGCCAAUCAGAAAAAGGUUAUAAAGUAUUUAUUCCAACUAUAUGAAAUUUGGGAAAAGGCAAAAUAUGGAGCUGUUGAAAAACAUAAGUAGUUUCAGGGGUUAGUGGAGAGGGAAUGAUGACUAGACUGAACACAAAAAUUUUUUAUGGCAAUGAAAAUACUCUGCAUAGUACUUUAGGGACAGAUGCAGUCCAUUAUACAUUUGUCUAAACCUAUAGAAUGUACAUUGCCAAGAGCAAGCACUAAAAAGUAAACUAUGGACUUUGAAUGAUAAUGAUGUUUCAAUGUAGGUUUAUAAAUUGUAAUAGUUUUACCACUAUGGUGGGGGUUCUUGCUGUGGAGGAUAGCUAUGCCUCUGUGGGAACCAGACACAUAUAGGAUAUCACUGUACUUUCCUUUCAAUUUAUCUUUGAAAUAAAUUAAAACUUAAAAUUUUAAUGUACAGGAAAUUAUUUAGCUAAAAUAUAUAAUUUUUAAAAUUUUAGAAGAUAACACAAAUGAAGAUUAAUCAGCUGAAACACCAAGGGGAAAAAGUUCAAAGGUCCCUACAUAGCCAACACAUUCUUUAAAGGGAUUAUAAAGUAGAAGGAUUCAUAUUAUUGGAUAUCGAGACCUAGAAAGCUACAGUGAUUUAGACAGUGAAUAGUUCAUUUAAGAAGAGUCAAAUCAUCAGGUAGAACAGAUGAGAAAGUCCAUAAAAUAACUUUCAAGUAUUUACACAUUUGAAUUCCUUCAAACACGACACCAAAGAGAUAUGUAGAAAGAAUGUCUUUUCAAUAAAUAGUAUUAGAUCGACUGAAUAUGUAUAUGGCGUGGGGGAAGGACUUUGAUGCUUACAUCACAGUAGAUAGAAAAAUCAAUUCCAUAUGGUUUGCAGAUAUAAAUGAGCAAGAAACAGUAAUCUUUGAAGAUUAUAGUAAAAUCUCUUGAGGUCUGUGAGAGUAGAAAAUCAUUUUAACCUUGAUAAGCAGCACAACAUUAAAAUUUUGUUUAUUGAUAGAUACUAUUAAAGACUGACAGAGUAGCAUUGGAUAUGUGGUACAAAUGUAGCUAGUAAAAUUCAAAUUGUCAUUAUGAGAUUCCUCUACACUUAAUAAGAUGGUGUGAAAUCAUCAAGUCACAUAAUACUGUAAUAGCAUGUGGAGUGAACCACAGAACCAAAAAGGAUUGAUAUAAGGACUUAAAGAACUCCUCAGAAUUUCCUACUAAAGUUGAAUGACACAUUCCUGAAGACCAGCAAUUUCACAUCUAGGUUUCUGUUCAAAAGAAUCAUGUGCACUUGUGCACUCAAAGACCUAACCAAACACAUUUUUUGACUGCCUUAUCUUGCAUUUGUCAAUGAAAACAACUCAAAUAUCCCUUAAACAUAGAAUCAGCAAAAUCUUAUAUAUUCAUCUACCAGAAUACAGCAAUAAACAUUAAUGAACUCCCAUGGAAACAACUUUAAAACGUAAAGUAUUUAUGGACAGUCUUUCUGCUUACCUCUGAAAUCCAACCCCAGUUCAGAGUUGAAUUGAGAAUCACCCAGCUGACAAUCAAGCAUGGCUUUGCUAAAAAGUGGAGUGCACAGGAGGAGACUUUUGUUUCUACUAAGGAGGUAGAAAGUGGAAAAGAGUGUUGCUUUCAUCCUAACACCAAGAAAAGGUCAGAUGAACUACAUCAUGGUAAUGUUCUCAAGCUUGUCAUAGAGCUUGGAUUUUAGGAUAGUCAAGUGACCUGAAGUCCGUGGAAUGACAGAUCCCUCAAGCAGAGCCAUCAGGAGAGCAGAGAAACUGUUGUUUUCUGAUUUAGAUCUAGAUGGUGCAUAGAGACCACUGGGGAGUUCUCUCAGGCAAAAAGUCAUAUAAAUGCUAAUUUUCCCCAGGUGAGCUUCCUUAUUUCAAAUGUUGAGAUUGCUCUAAAUUUUCCUAUUUUUCAUCUCUCUUCAAAAGAUGUUUUUUUUAAAAAAAUUUGAGAAGUUAUAAUUGUAAUUGUUAUAAGCCAAAGGAUUAGUCUCAUACAAGCAAUUUUAUUAUUAUUGGAAACUUGUGAUUAAAUUUUAUCUUGAUCUUAUAUCAAGCAACUUUACUAAGCUUUCUUGUUGUUCUAGUAAUUUUUUUAACAUGGUUGGUAAAAAUAUGUAAUGCAUACCAUCUGAGAAUGAGAAUAAUUGCAGUUCCUUUUUAAUCUGUAUGCCUUCGUUCUUAAUUUUUUUCUUCUACUACUUUAGCUACAACCUCUGGGAAAAAAAAUGGAAAUAGAAUCACUGAAAGCAGAUGUUCUUUUCUUGUUUCUGAUUAUAAAAAUAUUACUAAAUUUACACCAUGAAAUAUUACGUAUGCUGUGGAAUUUGGUAGAUACUCUCUGUUAAGUUAUGGAAAUUUCCUUCUAUUUCUAGUUUGUUAAGAGAUUUUUUAAAAAUAUGUUUUCACAUAUUGAAUUUGUGUUGAAUUUUAUCAUAUGGUUACUCUUCACCUAUUGGGAUAUUUAUAUAAUGUUUCUUCCCUGAAAAUAUUCCAGAAAAUUAUUAUUAUAUGAAUCGAUUAUUGGAAUUAUCUAAUACCAGUCCACAUAUAUAAACUCAAAGCCAUCUUCAUGAUCAAAUAUUUUGGUCAUGUUUGUUUUACUCUUUCAUGUGUGCUUAAAAAAUAUGACAAGUGAAUGCUAAUCCAUAAGGGGGGACAUG